GUGCUUGCUUCGGCAGCACAUAUGCUAAAAUUGGGACAAUACAGAGAGAUUAAAUGACCCCUGCACAAGUAUGACAUGCAAAUUUCUGAAGUGUUUAAUGUUUUU